GGAACACUGCCGCUACGUACAUAACUUCUACGCGGUAUCUUUAGGUAGCAGUUCUACGGUGGCUGACAACCGCGAGAUGUCGACCCGUCUUCUUCCUGUUUAUUCCUCUGCAGCACAGCGGCAAGCUUGAGAAGACUGCAGCACAUAAAGAAUCAAUGCCAUCAUUUAAAAAUGGAACAAGAAAAUAUGAAACCUCUAUUACAUCUGGCAAGAGGCGAAAGCGUGAAAAGUGUCCCAAUGUAAAACGCUCACUCCCAAAGAAAAUAAUUUUCCUGUAUGAAACCAUGAUCAUUGUAUUGUUUUGUGAAUAAAUCCAUCUAGACUGCUUA